rnacentral:rRNA from 2 species
UACAACUUUCAGCAACGGAUCUCUUGGCUCUCGCAUCGAUGAAGAACGCAGCGAAAUGCGAUAAGUAAUGUGAAUUGCAGAAUUCAGUGAAUCAUCGAAUCUUUGAACGCACCUUGCGCUCCUUGGUAUUCCGAGGAGCAUGCCUGUUUGAGUGUCAUGA